rnacentral:rRNA from 1 species
UCUGGUUGAUCCUGCCAGUAGUCAUAUGCUUGUCUCAAAGAUUAAGCCAUGCAUGUCUAAGUACAAACCUUAAUACGGUGAAACCGCGAAUGGCUCAUUAAAUCAGCUAUGGUUCCUUAGAUCGUCUCAUCCUACUCGGAUAACUGUGGAAAAUCUAGAGCUAAUACGUGCUUACAAGCCCUGACCUCACGGGAGGGGCGCAUUUAUUAGAUCAAAACCAAUCGGGGCUUGCCCCGUCUGCUUGGUGACUCUGGAUAACUUUUGUGCUGAUCGCAUGGCCUCUGCGCUGGCGACGUAUCUUUCAAGUGUCUGCCCUAUCAACUUACGAUGGUAGGUGAUAUGCCUACCAUGGUUAUAACGGGUAACGGGGAAUCAGGGUUCGAUUCCGGAGAGGGAGCCUGAGAAACGGCUACCACAUCUAAGGAAGGCAGCAGGCGCGCAAAUUACCCACUCCCGGCACGGGGAGGUAGUGACGAAAAAUAACGAUACGGGACUCUUUUGAGGCCCCGUAAUUGGAAUGAGUACACUUUAAAUCCGUUAACAAGUAUCUAUUGGAGGGCAAGUCUGGUGCCAGCAGCCGCGGUAAUUCCAGCUCCAAUAGCGUAUAUUAAUGUUGCUGCAGUUAAAAAGCUCGUAGUUGGAUCUGAGGACUCGAAUUGGUGGUGCACCAUACGGUGUUACUGCCGAUUCGGCCUACCUAGUCGGUGCUCGCUCUUGGUGUUCUUAAUUGAAUGCCCUGAGUGCCCGGCAAGUUUACUUUGAAAAAAUUAGAGUGCUCAAAGCAGGCCAUUAGCCGGAAUACUUCAGCAUGGAAUAAUGGAAUAGGACUUCGGUUCUAUUUUGUUGGUUUUCGGAACCCGAGGUAAUGAUUAAGAGAGACAGACGGGGGCAUUCGUACUGCGGUGUUAGAGGUGAAAUUCUUGGAUCGCCGCAAGACGAACAACUGCGAAAGCAUUUGCCAAGAAUGUUUUCAUUAAUCAAGAACGAAAGUCAGAGGUUCGAAGACGAUCAGAUACCGUCCUAGUUCUGACCAUAAACGAUGCCAACUGGCGAUCCGAGAUCGUUUGCUUAUUGACCUCUCGGGCAGCCUCCGGGAAACCAAAGUUUUUAGGUUCCGGGGGGAAGUAUGGUUGCAAAGCUGGAAACUGUUCAAUUGCAACUCUGCCUGUGACACCAAGUGGUCGGGUUACUUGGUCUGUUCUGGCCCGGAGUCGGUAGGGUUUCCGGCCUUGUGCUCUUUCCUUACUGUUCUCUGUAACGCCGAAGGCGGGGCUUCCACGGUGGGGAAGCGGUUGUACAAAUCCGGCAAAUCCAGCCAAAUGGGUUCCGGACUCUGUCCAACCUGCAACUGGUAACAGCCUCGGCUGGCUAACAUUUGAGCUGGGACUCGCUUGGGAGGAGCGAGGAUAAUAUAAACCUCUAUGUGACUGAGGUGAGGAAUCUGGUUCUCGUAAAAUGGCUGGAGAUCCCGAGCCUGUAAGUCAUAAAUUAGUUCCCCCACGAGGGGAGGUGUCGAAUUGAAGCCAGUGCGUGCCCUUACUAGUUUAAGGGAUUGUAUACUUCCUUUGGUGUACCCACCUGGAAGUGCCCAAGGGGUCCUAUCCCUGCACU